rnacentral:misc_RNA from 1 species
CAAAACACUCUCUCUCCUUCUCUUCUCCCCUCUGCUCUUCUCUCUCUCUCUCUGAAACUUUCUCUGUCUAAAAAGUCUAUUGCGGAGACUGGAGACGACCACGGCCAUUGCUGGCCUGCCCUGCUAACCUUCUCCAAAUUUAGCUCUAGAAAGAGACCGUACGGUUUCCUAUUCUCGUCAAUACGGUGCGUACAGUGACGAAGCUAGGGAGAUCUGGUUCGGUUGUAGCGGAAUGGAGGAAGAGAAAGGGGCGGUAGUUCAGAGUUUGAUUGAUACGGUGAACGAGAUUGCUUCGAUCUCUGAUUAUAGGUAUACGGUGAAGAAGCAGUAUUGCAAUUUAGCUAGGAGAUUGAAGCUGUUGAUGCCAUUGUUCGAGGAGAUUAGAGAGAGUAAGGAGCCGAUUCCUGAAGAGACUGCGAAAGCUUUAGUUUUAUUAAAACAAGCUUUGGAUUCAGCUAAGGAGUUGCUCAGAUUUGGCAGCGAAGGCAGCAAGAUUUACCUGGUAUUGGAGAGGGAACAAAUUAUGAACAAGUAUCAUGAGGUGACAACUCAAUUGGAACAAGCUCUAAGUGGAAUUUCCUAUGAAAACCUUGACAUAUCAGAUGAAGUUAAGGAACAGGUUGAGCUUGUCCAUGCUCAGUUCAGGAGAGCGAAAGGAAGGGUUGAUCCUCCUGAUGUUGAGCUGUAUGAAGAUCUAUUAUCACUUUAUAACAAGAACAAAGAUGCAGAAAUAGAUCCAGCUGUCCUAAGAAGAUCAUCU